rnacentral:rRNA from 1 species
GACGAACGCUGGCGGCGUGCCUAAUACAUGCAAGUAGGACGCAGUUGCGAACGGGUGAGUAACGCGUAGGUAACUGCCUAUUAGAGGGGGAUAACUAUUGGAAACGAUAGCUAAUACCGCAUACUAGUAGAUGGACCUGCGUUGUAUUAGCUAGUAGGUAGGGUAAUGGCCUACCUAGGCGACGAUACAUAGCCGAACUGAGAGGGGGAUCGGCCACACUGGGACUGAGACACGGCCCAGACUCCUAAGGGAGGCAGCAGUAGGGAAGCUUCGGGAAUGGGGGGAACCCUGACCAAGCAACGCCGCGUGAGUGAAGAAGGUUUUCGGAUAGUAAAGCUCUGUUGUUAAGGAAGCGGUACUUAACCAGAAAGGGACGGCUAACUACGUGCCAGCAGCCGCGGUAAUUC